AACGAACGCUGGCGGCAUGCCUAACACAUGCAAGUCGAACGAGACCUUCGGGUCUAGUGGCGCACGGGUGCGUAACGCGUGGGAACCUGCCCUUAGGUUCGGAAUAACUCCCCGAAAGGGGUGCUAAUACCGGAUAAUGUCUUCGGACCAAAGAUUUAUCGCCUUUGGAUGGGCCCGCGUUGGAUUAGCUAGUUGGUAGGGUAAAAGCCUACCAAGGCGACGAUCCAUAGCUGGUCUGAGAGGAUGAUGAGCCACACUGGGACUGAGACACGGCCCAGACUCCUACGGGAAGCAGCAGUGGGGAAUAUUGGACAAUGGGCGAAAGCCUGAUCCAGCAAUGCCGCGUGAGUGAUGAAGGCCUUAGGGUUGUAAAGCUCUUUUACCCGGGAUGAUAAUGACAGUACCGGGAGAAUAAGCUCCGGCUAACUCCGUG
rnacentral:rRNA from 1 species